GCAAAGGCUCUUUUCAGAGCCACCCACCUCGUCAAGAGAAAGAGG
rfam:Cavia porcellus supercont2_2 genomic scaffold, whole genome shotgun sequence.